UUGGCAAUACUUUCAGGAAUUAUUUCUAUAGCGUCAGACUCGAGAAGUGUAUACUUGAAAGUGGCUGGCUGAGCGAACCAUGAGGAGUCAAAGUCUGACUGCUAGUUCUGAGCAGGAAGGAAUGGACUGUGGCGCAGUGAUGCACCUCUUGCUUGCGGCUGUUGCCUAAUCCGCCUUCCUUUUAUCCGAAGGCUGGGGGGAAGGGAACAGAGACACUGUGGU